AUUGAACGCUGGCGGCAGGCCUAACACAUGCAAGUCGAGCGGAUGAGGGAAGCUUGCUUCCCGAUUUAGCGGCGGACGGGUGAGUAAUGCCUAGGAAUCUGCCUAUUAGUGGGGGAUAACGUUCCGAAAGGAACGCUAAUACCGCAUACGUCCUACGGGAGAAAGUGGGGGAUCUUCGGACCUCACGCUAAUAGAUGAGCCUAGGUCGGAUUAGCUAGUUGGUGAGGUAACGGCUCACCAAGGCGACGAUCCGUAGCUGGUCUGAGAGGAUGAACAGCCACACUGGAACUGGGACACGGUCCAGACUCCUACGGGAGGCAGCAGUGGGGAAUAUUGGACAAUGGGCGAAAGCCUGAUCCAGCCAUGCCGCGUGUGUGAAGAAGGUCUUCGGAUUGUAAAGCACUUUAAGUUGGGAGGAAGGGUUGUAAGCUAAUAUCUUGCAGCUUUGACGUUACCAACAGAAUAAGCACCGGCUAACUCUGUGCCAGCCGCCGCCGUAAGAC
rnacentral:rRNA from 1 species